rnacentral:rRNA from 1 species
AGUGAACGCUGGCGGUAGGCCUAACACAUGCAAGUCGAACGGCAGCACAGUAAGAGCUUGCUCUUACGGGUGGCGAGUGGCGGACGGGUGAGGAAUACAUCGGAAUCUACUUUUUCGUGGGGGAUAACGUAGGGAAACUUACGCUAAUACCGCAUACGACCUACGGGUGAAAGCAGGGGAGCUUCGGACCUUUCGCGAUUGAAUGAGCCGAUGUCGGAUUAGCUGGUUGGCGGGGUAAAGGCCCACCAAGGCGACGAUCCGUAGCUGGUCUGAGAGGAUGAUCAGCCACACUGGAACUGAGACACGGUCCAGACUCCUACGGGAGGCAGCAGUGGGGAAUAUUGCACAAUGGGCGCAAGCCUGAUCCAGCCAUACCGCGUGGGUGAAGAAGGCCUUCGGGUUGUAAAGCCCUUUUGUUGGGAAAGAAAAGCAGCAGGUUAAUACCCCGCUGUUCUGACGGUACCCAAAGAAUAAGCACCGGCUAACUUCGUG